GACGAACGCUGGCGGCGUGCUUAACACAUGCAAGUCGAACGGAAAGGCCCUGCUUUUGUGGGGUGCUCGAGUGGCGAACGGGUGAGUAACACGUGAGUAACCUGCCCUUGACUUUGGGAUAACUUCAGGAAACUGGGGCUAAUACCGGAUAGGAGCUCCUGCUGCAUGGGGGGGGUUGGAAAGUUUCGGCGGUUGGGGAUGGACUCGCGGCUUAUCAGCUUGUUGGUGGGGUAGUGGCUUACCAAGGCUUUGACGGGUAGCCGGCCUGAGAGGGUGACCGGCCACAUUGGGACUGAGAUACGGACCAGACGCCUACGGGAGGCAGCAGUGGAGAAUAUUGCACAAUGGGCGGAAGCCUGAUGCAGCAACGCCGCGUGCGGGAUGACGGCCUUCGGGUUGUAAACCGCUUUCGCCUGUGACGAAGCGUGAGUGACGGUAAUGGGUAAAGAAGCACCGGCUAACUACGUG
rnacentral:rRNA from 1 species